CCUUAGAAAAUACUGUCUUAACACAGAUGUAGGUCUAAUUCAACAUGCUCAUAAUGAUGCUAGUGUCGACUGUAAGUGUUUUGGUUACUCUUGUAAUGUUGAAGAAACACUACGAAGAGUCCUAUCAACCCCUUCUCUUUAUGAAAAAUUUGGGUUUUUUUCCAUUGAAUAACAACAAGUGAUAAGAGAUUUCUUAAUUCAGAAGAAUAAUACUCUUUAUGAAAAGUUUGACAUAAAUAGUAAAACUUUAAUUCUGCGUGACACUGGAGAUAAUUUUCGUGCUGCUAGUCGUUAUCCAACUGAGCAAACUUCUUUUUCAAUAUUGAAUUUAACUCCUAUGAUUAACAGCCCAUAUGGACAAUUUAUCACAACUCUUUGGCGAGGUAAUGAAAGUCAUGAGAGUAUUAAGUUACAUGUGCAAAAAGUAUACACAGAUUUGACAAAUCUAGUUAAAAAUGGAUUAACAGUGUGUAUUAAUGGUAGUAAAAUUGAACACUUUAAUGUGAUUUUAUUUCUAGUUGCAGAUCUUAGUUUCACUAACGAAGUUAUUGGUAAAUGCUCCAGUAAUCAAACAUAUGGUUGCAAUCAUUGCAAGUUGCCAAUUUAUGACUGGGCCGUUGUAAAUAAAAAGAUUGGUACUAUUCAAUUGGUUGUUGAUACACAAGAACGUGGGGAACAUGCAAGGGUUGAGCUAGGCCCUAGACCAAACUAAGAUUCAGCACAAUAUAAGAAGUUUACUGCUGACAACUAUGGACAAUGGGGAACAGUGUUAAUUGAAGGAUUGAUAAUUGAUUUCAUGCCACCAUGUGGCUUGCAUUUAAUUUUGGCACAACAUAGAUAUCUUUGAAAAUUUUUAUUUGAUGAAGUAAAUAAGAGUUCACAAGAAAACCUUUUGUCUGAAGGAUUGAGAAGAUUGGGUGUUCGUAUUUAGCAUUUCAACUUGAUUGUUAUUUUAAAAGAUGUAAGGAAAUUACAAACGAAUAUCAAGUUGGUUAGAGCCUAAUGCUCGUGCAAUUAAAGCUGCUAUGGUAACCCUUUGAAUCUGAUAGUUAUUCACUCUGAGCAAUAUAGUAUAAUAUUUUAAAUCAAAUUAACUGUGGAAAAUGAAUUUCAAUAAACUGGUCACAUUGCUUAUAUUUCAUCAAACAACGUAAAUAUAUUAUCAAUUUGAAACCGGAAGGUUACUUUUUCAAAUAUCUUCACCAAGCAUCUGAUAUGCAUAAGGUGUU
rnacentral:lncRNA from 1 species